GUAGUCCACGCCGUAAACGAUGAAUGCUAGGUGUUAGGGGUUUCGAUACCCUUGGUGCCGAAGUUAACACAUUAAGCAUUCCGCCUGGGGAGUACGGUCGCAAGACUGAAACUCAAAGGAAUUGACGGGGACCCGCACAAGCAGUGGAGUAUGUGGUUUAAUUCGAAGCAACGCGAAGAACCUUACCAGGUCUUGACAUCCCUUUGACCGGUGCAGAGAUGCAUCUUUCCUUCGGGACAGAGGAGACAGGUGGUGCAUGGUUGUCGUCAGCUCGUGUCGUGAGAUGUUGGGUUAAGUCCCGCAACGAGCGCAACCCUUGAUCUUAGUUGCCAGCAAUUCGGUUGGGCACU
rnacentral:rRNA from 1 species